GACAUGGAUUUGCGUCUCCUUUUGAUGCCUUCCUGGUGGUUUACGUAAGAGGCGGUGUGUUGGGGCCAGGAAGGGACGGAACCAUGGGGCUGGGUUUGCACCAGCUAUGCGAAGCCCCUCCGCUCUGCCCCCGCCUGCGAGGGGCUUUCUUGGCUGGGUCUGUUCCUGACAGAAGGGAUGCGUGUUGUCGGGGGUGGGGGGGCUUGGCAUGUGUGUGUGUGUGAGUGUGUGUGUGUGUGUGUGUGUGUGUGUGUGUGUGUUUAAAAUACAGAAAAAAGAGGCAUGGCUUUCCUCAGCUGUAGAGGCGGGCCGGGUUCUGUCGGUGCCAACUCCCUCAGAGCGGGCACUGUGGGGACACAGGAGGCGCACGAAGGCUGCAGAGGUGAGGGCCGGGUGUGGAGAAAGAUGGACGCUUGCCAUCUCGAGCGCCGGCGGCUGCGUGAGGCCAGACCCCAUGAACAAAACCCGCAGCAGAUCGCUGGCAGCCCAUGUUAGGAGGCAGAAGACAGUUGGCAACGCUGCCGUGGAGGACAGCCUGGGAACGGACGGAUGUAGCCAAAGCCAGCGCGGAACAGGAACAAAAUUGUGACCAACUGAAUGGAAGAUGCUGCGAACCUCCCUCAGCUUUCUGCCUGGAGAAGGUUCUCCGGCUCCUGCUGAGUUGCUGUAGAGGCCAAGACGGCACUGUGGCCUCAGUAGACUCGGGAAACAGGGGCUGGUGUUCAAGGGUACUGAGGUGCACACAAUUAACGGAGUGUAGAGAGAAAGAAGCUAUACCAAGGAGAGGCCAGAGCAGUACACAGGAGUGCCCUGUAACCACAUGAGACAUGGGCCCUGUGAGAACUGUCACCAGAAGUCGAUGUGGCACUCCUGACGGUGUUCAGCUCUCACGGAUGGAGUGCAAAUGUUGGCUGAAGGCUUUGGAAAGGCAAGUCUUGAGAACAGUGUGGUGAUGGUCCUCACACAAAGUGUACCUUGUAACCCCUCUUUGUGAACAGUUUUGCCAGCUAAGGCUUCAUGGCUGAAACAAACAUCAUCUUAGUCAUAGAAAAGACCUCAGAGGACGGACCCAGAGGUGACCCAGGUGCGGGAAUCAGAAGGGAAAGGUUUGAAAGAACAGGUGAGCAGCAGUUUGGACCACAGGAAAGAAAGGUGAGAGAACCUAAAGAUGGAUCUAUUUAAAGAAUCCCAAUUUAAGCACAGAUGUAAAGACUCAAUAUGGCUCUAGACAUGUUUCAGCCUUUGUUAUGAAGCCCUGGAUCCGGUCCCCAGAACUAUAUAGGUCAGGCAUGCUGGUAGCUCACGCCUAUAUAAGAACUCAGGAUGUGGCUCCAGGAGGAUCAGCGGUUCAAGGUCAUCCUCGACUACAGGUUGAGUUUGAGGAGGCCAUCCUGGGAUAUGGAGACCCUGUCUUAAAAACAGAACAACAAAGAUGCUACCACCUGUGGCAGAAUGUGAAGCCAGCCACCUGUCUGUGCCUGGGAUGUGGAAGGAGAAAACAGAGACUCAGAGAAGACAAAAAUGUUUACUCUACCAAUCAAUGAAGGCAUAAAAACUAGAAAGCAUCAUCAUAACAUAAACACCACAGGCAAACUACGGAAACCAAAGCUAAAGAAACCACCCCAGGAGCAGGUAGAGACAGACAGAUACAACACAGACACAGACACACAGACACAUAGAGGAGGACCUGGUAAGGAAUACUGGCGACUUCCAAUCAGAAUCAAUGCAAGACUGAAGACAGCAGGAGAGCCUUUAAAACAUCAAAUGUAUAAACAAAGAAAAUUGAAACACCCUUCAAGGAUUAGACAGGAACAAAGCAAUUUUUUUUUGGGUGAACAAAAUCUGAGACAGUCCACCACAGCAGACGACACGGUGGAGAACGUGAAUGAAGAAUCACGUUCAUGGGAACGGUGGAGAAUCCUUCAAGAGAGAAGAUGGCCUGGAGAGCCUCAGACCUCCUGAGAGAGGAAGCUGUGGGAAGUUGCAACGUGGUAACGCAAAGCCCUCUUUCCAUUUCCAACCUUCUUUAGAGGACAAUGAGAGAGACACAAUAGUGUCUGGUGAGAAGAGUCAUGGCAUCUGCGGAAGGGACAUGUGUGCUUUCAACCCAAGGCAGGAGGGUAAAGAGACACUACAGCAGCAUUUCCUUUCGGAGCAUGAGAUCAUAUCUAUAGAUGUGGCGUGAGUCCAGAAUAAAGAUAUCUUUGUCCUUGGAGCAGCUGCCAAAAAUAAGAAGCUAGGAGGUAUACCUCCUGAACGAAAUCAAACGUUACAGAGUAAUCAAACAAUUCAAGUAGGCAAGGAGGAAAAUAUGAAACGAAACCCAAGUUUGUAUAUAAAACAAAUACCAAGAGUUUAAGCUCCUCCAUGUUGAUGAUUAAAUUAAAUAUAAAUGGGUUAAUAUCUGAUUUAAAAGGCAGAAGUCGAAGGGCCAGCAUGUGAGGUUCAACCUUCCUACCAUGUUAGAAGCCCUGGGUUGGGGUUGGGGAUUUAGCUCAGUGGUAGAGCGCUUGCCUAGGAAGCGCAAGGCCCUGGGUUCGGUCCCCAGCUCCGAAAAAAAGAACCAAAAAAAAAAAAAAAAAAAGAAGCCUUGGGUUGGUUGAAUCCCCAAUACCACAAGGAAGGAAAGGAAGCAAAAGGAGGGCCAGUCAGAUGCCUCAGUGGGAAAAGGUGCUUGCCACUAAGCCUGACAACCUGAGUUUGAUUCCCCAAACUCACAUGGUGGAGGAGAUAGCUGACCCCUGAAAGCUGUCCUCUGACCUCCAUGCACAUAUGCACACACACACACACACACACACACACACACACACACACACACACGCCACUUUUCAAAGACUGAAAGGAAAUCAGAGGUGGUUUCGCUAAGAGUAGACAGAGGAGACUGCGGACGAGAAGUCCCAUUAGAGUUGAAGAGGAACACAACAGUUAUGAACUCAGAGGAAGAACCAUGGGGCCUGCUCUUAAGAAAAAGUUUAAAACCCAUGGCACAAAUCUAAAGGGAAACGGACAAACUCAUAGUCACCAUUGGCGGUCCCAACAUCCCUGUCAAAUAUAAAACCAGAAAGUCAAGAGGGGGGAGACUAGGGAGAAGACAGGAGCUUCACCCACCAUGACCUCGUUGAUAAUGGUAGCCCCUUCAUUCAGCAGCAACAGAAUACAUGAGACUUCCCCACAAAGGCAAACAGAAGAAAGACGUGGCGAUAUUCUGACACUGAAGGGGGUUGGGUGAUUUUGGCUCAGUCAGAGAUUUGGAGAUCCCAUUUGAGGCUUCCACAGUUAACACAGCUCCAUCCACCAAAGCUCUCGUGUCUCCUACCAAAACACGAAACAGAACCGUGAAAUCUGAACAUUCAGCUAAUACACCCCUCUUCUUUCCCGUGUUGCUCUAGGUGCCAGGAACCCGGAACGAGACCUCGGAUUUGACAGAGUACGGUAAUCUAUGGCGUAGACAAUCUGCCGUUUCUACCAUGGAUAUUUUGUUUUGUGACAUCUCUCAAGCUUGCAUUGGAAGCAGACGUGUACACAUUAUCAAUAAAGUCUCCAGGUUUGGUGUACAGGGGGCCUUGA